rnacentral:rRNA from 1 species
GCUCAGAAACUUAAUGAAUUGACGGGGCCGCACAAGCGGUGGAGCAUGUGGUUUAAUUCGAUGAUACGCGAGGAACCUUACCUGGGCUCAAAUGUAUGUUGACGUAUUCUGAAAGGGAUACUUCUUCGGACAAUAUACAAGGUGCUGCAUGGUUGUCGUCAGCUCGUGCCGUGAGGUGUCGGGUUAAGUCCCAUAACGAGCGCAACCCCUAUCAUUAGUUGCCAUCAGGUCAAGCUGGGGACUCUAAUGAAACUGCCUACGCAAGUAGUGAGGAAGGUGGGGAUGACGUCAAAUCAGCACGGCCCUUACGUCCAGGGCUACACACGUGCUACAAUGGCCGGUACAAAGGGCAGCUACCUGGUGACAGGAUGCUAAUCUCAAAAGCCGGUCUCAGUUCGGAUCGGAGUCUGCAACCCGACUCCGUGAAGCUGGAUUCGCUAGUAAUCGCGCAUCAGCCACGGCGCGGUGAAUACGUUCCCGGGCCUU